rnacentral:rRNA from 1 species
GUGAGGAAUAUUGCGCAAUGGAGGCAACUCUGACGCAGCCAUGCCGCGUGCAGGAAGAAGGCGCUACGCGUUGUAAACUGCUUUUAACCGGGAAGAAACCCCAGGACGUGUCCUGGGUUGACGGUACCGGAGGAAUAAGCACCGGCUAACUUCGUGCCAGCAGCCGCGGUAAUACGAAGGGUGCAAGCGUUAUCCGGAUUCAUUGGGUUUAAAGGGUGCGUAGGCGGAGCGUUAAGUCAGUGGUGAAAUCCUGCAGCUUAACUGUAGACUUGCCAUUGAUACUGGUGCUCUUGAGUGCGCUUGAAGUGGGCGGAAUGUGCCGUGUAGCGGUGAAAUGCUUAGAUAUGGCACAGAACACCAAUUGCGAAGGCAGCUCACUAAGGCGAUACUGACGCUGAGGCACGAAAGCGUGGGGAUCGAACAGGAUUAGAUACCCGGGUAGUCC